UUAAGCGACUAAGCGUACACGGUGGAUGCCCUGGCAGUCAGAGGCGAUGAAGGACGUGCUAAUCUGCGAUAAGCGUCGGUAAGGUGAUAUGAACCGUUAUAACCGGCGAUUUCCGAAUGGGGAAACCCAGUGUGAUUCGUCACACUAUCAUUAACUGAAUCCAUAGGUUAAUGAGGCGAACCGGGGGAACUGAAACAUCUAAGUACCCCGAGGAAAAGAAAUCAACCGAGAUUCCCCCAGUAGCGGCGAGCGAACGGGGAGGAGCCCAGAGCCUGAAUCAGUGUGUGUGUUAGUGGAAGCGUCUGGAAAGGCGCGCGAUACAGGGUGACAGCCCCGUACACAAAAAUGCACAUGCUGUGAGCUCGAUGAGUAGGGCGGGACACGUGGUAUCCUGUCUGAAUAUGGGGGGACCAUCCUCCAAGGCUAAAUACUCCUGACUGACCGAUAGUGAACCAGUACCGUGAGGGAAAGGCGAAAAGAACCCCGGCGAGGGGAGUGAAAAAGAACCUGAAACCGUGUACGUACAAGCAGUGGGAGCACAGAGCAAUCUGUGUGACUGCGUACCUUUUGUAUAAUGGGUCAGCGACUUAUAUUCUGUAGCAAGGUUAACCGAAUAGGGGAGCCGAAGGGAAACCGAGUCUUAACCGGGCGUUAAGUUGCAGGGUAUAGACCCGAAACCCGGUGAUCUAGCCAUGGGCAGGUUGAAGGUUGGGUAACACUAACUGGAGGACCGAACCGACUAAUGUUGAAAAAUUAGCGGAUGACUUGUGGCUGGGGGUGAAAGGCCAAUCAAACCGGGAGAUAGCUGGUUCUCCCCGAAAGCUAUUUAGGUAGCGCCUCGUGAAUUCAUCUCCGGGGGUAGAGCACUGUUUCGGCAAGGGGGUCAUCCCGACUUACCAACCCGAUGCAAACUGCGAAUACCGGAGAAUGUUAUCACGGGAGACACACGGCGGGUGCUAACGUCCGUCGUGAAGAGGGAAACAACCCAGACCGCCAGCUAAGGUCCCAAAGUCAUGGUUAAGUGGGAAACGAUGUGGGAAGGCCCAGACAGCCAGGAUGUUGGCUUAGAAGCAGCCAUCAUUUAAAGAAAGCGUAAUAGCUCACUGGUCGAGUCGGCCUGCGCGGAAGAUGUAACGGGGCUAAACCAUGCACCGAAGCUGCGGCAGCGACACUGUGUGUUGUUGGGUAGGGGAGCGUUCUGUAAGCCUGUGAAGGUGUGCUGUGAGGCAUGCUGGAGGUAUCAGAAGUGCGAAUGCUGACAUAAGUAACGAUAAAGCGGGUGAAAAGCCCGCUCGCCGGAAGACCAAGGGUUCCUGUCCAACGUUAAUCGGGGCAGGGUGAGUCGACCCCUAAGGCGAGGCCGAAAGGCGUAGUCGAUGGGAAACAGGUUAAUAUUCCUGUACUUGGUGUUACUGCGAAGGGGGGACGGAGAAGGCUAUGUUGGCCGGGCGACGGUUGUCCCGGUUUAAGCGUGUAGGCUGGUUUUCCAGGCAAAUCCGGAAAAUCAAGGCUGAGGCGUGAUGACGAGGCACUACGGUGCUGAAGCAACAAAUGCCCUGCUUCCAGGAAAAGCCUCUAAGCAUCAGGUAACAUCAAAUCGUACCCCAAACCGACACAGGUGGUCAGGUAGAGAAUACCAAGGCGCUUGAGAGAACUCGGGUGAAGGAACUAGGCAAAAUGGUGCCGUAACUUCGGGAGAAGGCACGCUGAUAUGUAGGUGAAGUCCCUCGCGGAUGGAGCUGAAAUCAGUCGAAGAUACCAGCUGGCUGCAACUGUUUAUUAAAAACACAGCACUGUGCAAACACGAAAGUGGACGUAUACGGUGUGACGCCUGCCCGGUGCCGGAAGGUUAAUUGAUGGGGUCAGCGCAAGCGAAGCUCUUGAUCGAAGCCCCGGUAAACGGCGGCCGUAACUAUAACGGUCCUAAGGUAGCGAAAUUCCUUGUCGGGUAAGUUCCGACCUGCACGAAUGGCGUAAUGAUGGCCAGGCUGUCUCCACCCGAGACUCAGUGAAAUUGAACUCGCUGUGAAGAUGCAGUGUACCCGCGGCAAGACGGAAAGACCCCGUGAACCUUUACUAUAGCUUGACACUGAACAUUGAGCCUUGAUGUGUAGGAUAGGUGGGAGGCUUUGAAGUGUGGACGCCAGUCUGCAUGGAGCCGACCUUGAAAUACCACCCUUUAAUGUUUGAUGUUCUAACGUGGACCCGUGAUCCGGGUUGCGGACAGUGUCUGGUGGGUAGUUUGACUGGGGCGGUCUCCUCCUAAAGAGUAACGGAGGAGCACGAAGGUUGGCUAAUCCUGGUCGGACAUCAGGAGGUUAGUGCAAUGGCAUAAGCCAGCUUGACUGCGAGCGUGACGGCGCGAGCAGGUGCGAAAGCAGGUCAUAGUGAUCCGGUGGUUCUGAAUGGAAGGGCCAUCGCUCAACGGAUAAAAGGUACUCCGGGGAUAACAGGCUGAUACCGCCCAAGAGUUCAUAUCGACGGCGGUGUUUGGCACCUCGAUGUCGGCUCAUCACAUCCUGGGGCUGAAGUAGGUCCCAAGGGUAUGGCUGUUCGCCAUUUAAAGUGGUACGCGAGCUGGGUUUAGAACGUCGUGAGACAGUUCGGUCCCUAUCUGCCGUGGGCGCUGGAGAACUGAGGGGGGCUGCUCCUAGUACGAGAGGACCGGAGUGGACGCAUCACUGGUGUUCGGGUUGUCAUGCCAAUGGCACUGCCCGGUAGCUAAAUGCGGAAGAGAUAAGUGCUGAAAGCAUCUAAGCACGAAACUUGCCCCGAGAUGAGUUCUCCCUGACCCUUUAAGGGUCCUGAAGGAACGUUGAAGACGACGACGUUGAUAGGCCGGGUGUGUAAGCGCAGCGAUGCGUUGAGCUAACCGGUACUAAUGAACCGUGAGGCUUAACCUU
rnacentral:rRNA from 18 species